UACGGGGGGAGCAAGCGUUGUUCGGAUUUACUGGGCGUAAAGGGCGCGUAGGCGGCCACGACAAGUCACUUGUGAAAUCUCCGGGCUUAACUCGGAAAGGUCAAGUGAUACUGUCGGGCUAGAGUGCGGAAGGGGCAACUGGAAUUCUCGGUGUAGCGGUGAAAUGCGUAGAUAUCGAGAGGAACACCUGCGGCGAAGGCGGGUUGCUGGGCCGACACUGACGCUGAGGCGCGAAAGCUAGGGGAGCGAACGGG
rnacentral:rRNA from 1 species